ensembl:snRNA U6 U6 spliceosomal RNA
UUGCUUUGGCAGCACAUAUACUAAAAUUGAAAUGCUACAGAGAAGACUAGCAUGGCCCUUGCACAAGGAUGAUAUGCAUAUCUCUGAGGCAUUCCAUAUUUUG